UACGAAGGGGGCGAGCGUUGUUCGGAAUCACUGGGCGUAAAGGGUGCGUAGGCGGCGCGGUAAGUCGGGUGUGAAAUCUCGGGGCUUAACUCCGAAACUGCAUUCGAUACUGCCGUGCUUGAGGACUGGAGAGGAGACUGGAAUUUACGGUGUAGCGGUGAAAUGCGUAGAUAUCGUAAGGAAGACCAGUGGCGAAGGCGGGUCUCUGGACAGUUCCUGACGCUGAGGCACGAAGGCCAGGGGAGCAAACGGG
rnacentral:rRNA from 1 species